CAGUGGAAAUGAAUCCCACUAGAAACCAUGAGGUUGCGGGUUUGAUCCCUGGCCUGACUCGGUGGGUUCAGGAUCCAGUGUUGCCAUGAGCUGUGGUGUAGGUUGCAGACUCAGCUCAGAUCUGGCGUUGCUGUGUCUGUAGUGUAGGCCUGUGGCUAUAGUUCCAAUUAGACACCCAGCCUGGGAAUCUCCAUAUGCUGCAGGUGCGGCCCUAAAAGGACAAAAGAAAAAAAAAAAAGAAAAAAAAAAAGAAAUGCCAGCAAAUCAAUGUUAUAAAGAGUAUUUUAAUCGCACAGCAUGAGGCUGGGAGAUGGAGCUCAUGUGGCAUGGUUUCUGCCAGGACCAUCUUGUACAGCUGUGCAGAUGUGCCAGAGUGUGUUCUUAGCACUGUAGUCUAUGCAGUUGCCCCGCCCUCCCCAGCUUGUUCAGUGCAAUAUGUGGUUUAGGGGGCCCUGCCCAUCUGGGGAGCUUAUGAUAUAGUUGGGGUUUGAAAGUUAUGCUGCGGUGUGGAGCUCCCUGCAGAACCUCGGAUGUGAAACAUUUUGCCAGGUGUAGGAACUGAGACUGAAAACUGUGACUUCCUUUUGUGAGUGGUUUGGUGCAACCCAGUGAAGUGACUGCACACGAAUGUGUAGAAGGAUCCCGGACGAAGCUGGAAUCGGACAGAAGCGAGCAUCUGCUCCAGCCUCACCUUUGGUAGCUGUGGUGUCUCUUCAGGAGGAGUGACAGAUCCAACAGAAAAGUAUCCUCUCGAGGGCUGUGGCUCUUCCCUCUGCCACUGCCGAGGGACGCCUUACAUGUGACUGGCCCUGGAAACAGAAUUCCCCAAAGCCCUCAUGGAGAUGAGUCGGCAUGGUUUAUCUGAUCCCGUGGGUUGAUGUCAUGGAAGCAUCUGGAUGCUGGGGGAUGCAAAUGGACCGUGCUAUCAGCUCAGGCUGCCGUGAUGAAGUACCGCAGACUGGCUCAAACAACGGAAGUAAAUUUUCUCACCGUUCUAGAGGCUGAAAGUCUGAGCUCAAGGUGUCUGUAAGGUUGACGUCUGUGGAAGUCCCUCUCCUUGGCCUGUAGAUGUCCAUUUUCCCCUUGAAUCCUCCCACAGCCUUUUCUCUGUGUACAGGCAUCCCAGGGGUCUUUCUUUGCCUCUUUCAAGACCCUCCUUCCAGGGAGUUCCCAUCGUGGUUCAGUGGUUAACGAAUCUGACUAGGAACCAUGACGUUGCGGGUUCCAUCCCUGGCCUUGCUCAGGGGGUUAAGGAUCCGGAGUUGCCGUGAGCUGUGGUAUAGGUUGCAGAUGCAGCUCAGAUCCCGUGUUGCUGUGGCUCUGGUGUAGGCCGGCAGCUAUAGCUCCGAUUAGACUCCUAAACUGGGAACCUCCGUAUGCUGCAGGAGCAGCCCAAGAAAUGGCAAAAAGACUCCCCUCCAAAAAAAAGACCCUCCUUCCAAGUACAGUCACAUUUUGAGGGUUCCGAGGCUUUCAACAUAGGAAUUUAGGGUGAGGGACACAGCUCAGCCCUGAAAUAAGCCCACCUUGAGCGGUAUGGGGAAAAGGAGACUGUUCUCUAAGGGAGGCAUGAACAAACUGCCCGAAGGUGGACUGCAACAUACCAGACAGAAGUCUAACCAGAGAUGCAUCGGAGGCCCACCAAGAAAGACAACACCCAGUCCUCCUGUCUGGGCCCUUGGAUCUAAGUAAAGUUAUCUGGAGGAAUGUGAUGGGACAGGAUUCUGAGGAAUUUGUAAAUAUCACAGCAAAGCAGAUUACCUCCACCUUGACACCAGCAAGCCAAGGCGAAUGGAUGGAAAAGGGAACAGGCUGUUUCCCUGAAUAUAGAAUUUGAAGGGUCUCUGGCCCCAGAGGGCUGCCCUUCUCAGACAGCACCAUCACAGAGGACACACACACGGCAAUGUCUGAACAUAAUACACACGAUCCCUGGCAGUGUAGAGAGUUAGGUCGGGGUGACCUAUGUUCAACCAGCGAUAUAUGUUUAAACUGAAUUUGUUGUGUUAAUCCUCCUUCUCUAUGGUCCUUCUCAUCUGUGUAAAAGCAAUGAUAAUGAUGAAGGAUUAUUAACACCAUUUAUUGAGUGGUGGGUGUAUGCUAAGGGGUAAUAUACCAUACAUUACUUCGAAUCUGUAAACCCUUUGAGAUGGGUUUUAAUUGAGAGCCAGGACCCAAAGUUAAACUGAAAGUAGAUGUCAGCUCUGGGACUUGGACGCUAGCUUAACCUGCUCCAGACCCCACACAUAGAACCCUGGGCGAUGAUGGUCUAUGCAGAUGGUUCUGGAAAGCAGGGCCCGGGGCUGGAACCUCAGCUUUGCCAGUAUCCAGGCAGGCCGUCAUUGUUUCUGCAUGUCCCCUUCCAUAUCAGAGAAGGAAUCCUGGUGGAGAUGGGGCCUAUGGAAGUUAGGAAGCUCCCCUAGGAUCUGUAAGCAAGGACUGCCAUGGAAACAUUUUGAGUGUAUCUCUGUCCGCAGAAAACAUCAUGGUGGCAGUAUUGGUGGGUGGGAGGAUUAAUUGGUACUUCUUCUCUGAUCCUACAUUCAAUUUCCUUGAUCAGGGAAAUUGGAUUACUCCAGAAUUUGAGGAAGGAACAUUGGUAAUAAAGUUCAAAGAGAUGAAUUACACUCAGAUAUUCAACCUUUUCAAUGCUAGGCAACUGAUUAAAUCCUGCCUGUUUGACAGUGAUGGAUGGCUGAGGAACUACAAAUUUCAUCCCCAUUUGCAAAAGAUGGCUUUUCUCCUGUCUAAACAAACUCAAGAAUGAUCACUGGAGUUGUGGCUCAAAGGAAACUAAUCCAACUAGUAUCCCUGAGGACGUGGGUUGGAUCCCCAGCCUUGCUCAGUGGGUUGGGGAUCUGGCAUUGCCUAGAGCUGUGGUGCAGGUCACAGAUGUGGCUCGGAUCCUGAGUUGCUGUGGCUGUGGUGUAGACUGACAGCUGUAGCUCCAAUUCAACCCCUAGCCUGGGAACUUCCAUAUGCCA
ensembl:lncRNA